UACAGAGGGUGCAAGCGUUAAUCGGAUUUACUGGGCGUACAGCGCGCGUAGGUGGCCAAUUAAGUCAAAUGUGAAAUCCCCGAGCUUAACUUGGGAAUUGCAUUCGAUACUGGUUGGCUAGAGUAUGGGAGAGGAUGGUAGAAUUCCAGGUGUAGCGGUGAAAUGCGUAGAGAUCUGGAGGAAUACCGAUGGCGAAGGCAGCCAUCUGGCCUAAUACUGACACUGAGGUGCGAAAGCAUGGGGAGCAAACAGG
rnacentral:rRNA from 1 species